rnacentral:lncRNA from 10 species
UCGAACUGCUGGCCUCAAGAAAUCCACCCAUCUUGGCCUCCCAAAGUGCUGGGAUUACAGAUGUGAGCCACCAUUGUAACAGGGUUUGAGGAAGGUAUUUCUCACAGAUGCAUGUGAAAACCCAAACUUCAUGCUUAUGAACUGCAAAAGGAUCACACUCAUUUCUUUUUAAGCUGUCUGCCCCUUCACGCUGAACCCCUCUUUAUGGGCAGGGACUACAUUUUUUUUCUCUGUGCUUAUCUGAGUGCCUAAUAAAAUAACUAGUAGAUAACACACCAACUAUAAACACUUAAAAGAUCUAUCUCUACUACUCUCUACUCUUAGUACCCAUCACCUCCAAUUCAUGGACACAGACAUUCAUUCACAGAGAUUUGGGGACCUGGUUCACAGUGUUUGUGUUCUACUUCAACUCCUACAUUAUUUUGGAGAAGCCAGCUGUCAUUCUGUGAACAGCCCUCUGAAGAAG